UUAACCUGGCCUUGACAUACUAAGAACUUUCCAGAGAUGGAUUGGUGCCUUCGGGAACUUAGAUACAGGUGCUGCAUGGCUGUCGUCAGCUCGUGUCGUGAGAUGUUGGGUUAAGUCCCGCAACGAGCGCAACCCUUUUCCUUAUUUGCCAGCGGGUUAAGCCGGGAACUUUAAGGAUACUGCCAGUGACAAACUGGAGGAAGGCGGGGACGACGUCAAGUCAUCAUGGCCCUUACGGCCAGGGCUACACACGUGCUACAAUGGUCGGUACAAAGGGUUGCUACCUCGCGAGAGGAUGCUAAUCUCAAAAAGCCGAUCGUAGUCCGGAUCGCAGUCUGCAACUCGACUGCGUGAAGUCGGAAUCGCUAGUAAUCGCGGAUCAGAAUGCCGCGGUGAAUACGUUCCCGGGCCUUGUACACACCGCCCGUCACACCAUGGGAGUUUGUUGCACCAGAAGUAGGUAGUCUAACCGCAAGGAGGACGCUUACCACGGUGUGGCCGAUGACUGGGGUGAAGUCGUAACAAGGUAGGCGUAGAUGA
rnacentral:rRNA from 1 species